rnacentral:rRNA from 1 species
CCUGAGUGAGAAAGUGGGGGAUCUUCGGACCUCACGCUAUCAGAUGAGCCUAGGUCGGAUUAGCUAGUUGGUGGGGUAAAGGCCUACCAAGGCGACGAUCCGUGACUGGUCUGAGAGGAUGAUCAGUCACACUGGAACUGAGACACGGUCCAGACUCCUACGGGAGGCAGCAGUGGGGAAUAUUGGACAAUGGGCGAAAGCCUGAUCCAGCCAUGUCGCGUGUGUGAAGAAGGUCUUCGGAUUGUAAAGCACUUUAAGUUGGGAUGAAGGGCAGUAAGUUACUUCCUUU